GAGAACAUAGCCUAAGUAUAAGGUGUCAGGUUGAAGGUCUGAAGAUGGUUACAUAGACCUGUUCUCU
rnacentral:tRNA from 1 species